rnacentral:tRNA from 1 species
GUCCGGUUGGUGUAGUGGUUAUCACGUCUGCCUAACACGCAGACGGUCCCAGGUUCGAACCCUGGAUCGGACA